AGAGGGUGUAGGAUUAAAACGGAGGGGGAGGGUGAAUGUAAAACUAUUCAGGUUACACCAAAAUGGCGGAACUACUGAGAGGCGACUGUGGAUGAAAAAAAGUUUUGCUGUACUUUCGACCUGCCUGGGCAAACGUAAAGCAGUGAAACUAUAAGGCCCCUUUCAUUAGAGAUUAAGUCCUGGAAACUUUUAAGGUGAUUAACCUUCAUUUUUUUUCUUUUUGCUUCAUGUCACAAUUUAAUUCUUUAUAAAAGUCAGGCCGUUCUUUUAUUUUUGUUCUUUCUCUCUUUCUUUUUUUUCUCUUUCCCUCACACACGUUCUCUCUUUCUUUCUCUUUCCCUCACACACGUUCUCUCUUUCUUUCUCUUUCCCUCACACACGUUCUCUCUUUCUUUCUCUGUCCCUCACACACGUUCUCUCUUUCUUUCUCUUUCCCUCACACACGUUCUCUCUCUUUCUUUCUCUGUCCCUCACACACGUUCUCUCUUUCUUUCUCUCUGUCCCUCACACACGUUCUCUCUUUCUUUCUCUUUCCUCACACACGCUCUCUCUUUCUUUCUCUUUCUCAGCCUCUCUCUCUCUCUUUCAUCCUUUUUCUUCUCCGCGCACUGAUUCUAUCUAGAUAAUUCCCCUCUAUCACCUUUCAUUAACUUAAUUUUUCUUUCAAAGCUUCCUUUAUUUAUAUCAUUCAUUAUCUCAAUCCCUUUAAAACUAUUUUUCAUCUCUUCAAUGUUUCAUCUUCUUCUAUCUCCUCUCUCUCAAUCUCUCUCUCCUUUCUGUCGGACUGUCAUUCUUUAUUUUUCGUUCUUUCAGUUUCAAUAAUUUCUUCUAUUUCUUUCUUUUCUCUCCUCCUCUAAUCCCUUAUUCGCUCCUUCUCUCACUCAUUUACAUUUUCUUUCAUUUCUUUCUUUCAAGCCUAUCCCUUCCUCUCUACUUUGAUCCCUUUCUCACCAUCGCUAUUUCUCUCCCACAUCUUCUAUACCUUCUCUUCGACGGACCUUCACAAGUGGACCCAUUAAAAAACCCCUUCUUUCUUAAAGUUAUGAGGAAACAAAGUUAGUCGGGGAGGAAAGAGUUCCGAUUAUAUUGGAAAUUGUAGGGAAAACAAAUUCAGAGGGUUGAGGGCAAAGAAGUUACGGUAUAUUGACACAGGACGAAUUUGUUUCCUCAUAACUUUUUAAAAAAUGGAUAUUUUGUAAUGAAAUGUUCAACAAAUACUUUUUAAAUGAUGUAGAUUAUGAUUAAUUUGGUUUUUAAGGUUAAAAAAAAAUAAGAUGUUGCCGCUCACACAUACAUACCACGUAAUUUUUUUUUCAAAAUUUCAAGUUUCGAUUUGUGUUAGUUAAUAUGUAUGCAUGCGCACCUCACAAUAUCUUUUUAUAUUAAAUUCCAGUAUAAUUAUAAUCUACACCAUCUGAUAUGUAUUUGUAGAAAAUUCCAAUAAAAAAUACCUAUUUUUCUAAAAGUUAUAAGGAAAAAAAAGUGGGGAGGGGUCACUUGUAUAUUUUCGCUUUUCUGAUUUCUCAUUCAAUCACCAAAUUUUCUUCCUAUCUUUUAAUAUUUUCUCUCCAUCAGCCUCUUUAGUUUCUCUCUUAUGUUCUAUCUCUCUUUCUUCCUGCCACUUUGGGAUUUACGUUUUAAUAAUGGUUAUAUCCCAGAAAAACGGUCGGGUUUCGAUUCUUGGUUUGUCGUAGUUUAACAUACAAAAAGUCACUUCAUUUCGCAUCACAUUUCACUUUUGGCUAAAUAUGCCCACCACAAAGGAAAGGCAUGAACAUUAUCACAUCUCUUUUUUUUUCCCUCCUCUCUUUUCUCUGUUUUCCAUUUCACGAAGAUAACAAGGAAAACAAAACUCGCACAACAAACCCAAAAUGCCAAGAAUAAAAGAAAAAUCACAACAAAAAACGAAAACCAUUUUGUAUGACGAAAGAAAUGUUAGAAAGAUAAGAAAUAAGAAUUCCAAUCAUUCACUUGAAAUUCUUCGGUUUUUUCCUGCUAAUAGUACACUUAUCUUACAAGUGCUAUUUGCUCUUUGGCCCCAGUUCUUCGUUCUCAUUUAUAAUUCCAUUUUAGAAAGCAUCAUUGGCACACACACACACGUACGUGUAUAUUUAUAAAAGUGCCGUAUGGACUUGAUUAGGUAAAUCGUAUUUUAUCUUUCCCGGAAGGACGAAAAGUGUAAAGUGAACUUCGGGUGGGAUUUGAACUGAGAAUGUAACGGCCCGUGGUUAAACACUGCUUAAUAUUUUUGUUCGACGCCCUUUAUAGUCCUUUAUAAGACUAUAAGAUGUGAUUUGAAGGAGUGUUAGCUGCUAUUAUUCUUUCCCCAAAAGAAGCUCCCUUUUUGGCUAAUUAUAAUAGUCAUUUAACCUCAAAGCAACCCUGAUUCAACAAACCUUAUGAUCCAUUUGGCGUUGUUUUUGUUUAGGGCAUAGUAUUUCGAGAACUACAUUAUUUUAAUGUGACUUUCCUUUUUUGUUUUUUAUGACUAAGGUAUAAACAGAGAAUUUGGCUAUUCUUUCUAGCAUGGCGAAGGGACAUGUAUAAUACUCCCUCGAUGGCUCAAAGAUGUUGGCAUAAAAUUGUGGGUAUUCCGUGGUUUAGGCACCGAAAGAACAUUUUCAAAAUUGGAAGUCUGAUUCGGCUGCGCAAAAACAAGCGUCUUUCUAAAGGCGUUCUAAACGUGACCAUCCCGUCUUUUAAAGGCGUUCUAAACGUGACCAUCUCGUCUUUUAAAGGCGUUCUAAACGUGACCAUCUCGUCUUUUAAAGGCGUUCAAAAUGUGGCCAUUUCGUCUUUUAAAGGCAUUCAAAACGUGACCAUCUCGUCUUUUAAAUGCGUUCUAAACGUGACCAUCUCGUCUUUUAAAGGCAUUUUAACCAUAACCAUUCCGUCACUUUUAUCCAAUAUUUCUCUCGUGUCAUCGUAUUUUUUUUCUUCAAGAUACAGAAGAUAGAUAUAAUCAGGGGAUUGCUGCCUGCUUUAAAAAAGGGUUGGUUUUGGCUGAACUGCUUCUGAUAACAGGUCUGCUGGAACAGAACUGACCCUAGGCUAAACAACAUUGAGACGUGUGUGUGUGUGUACACUGUGGUCACUCAAUAUGGUGCAAUAGUAUCUACAUUCCCGGCCAGUGUGUAAUUUUCGUCAAAUUAAUCAAAAGAAAUACUGGAAAAACAAACUUUUUUAAGAAUUGAAGGACAACAUAUAUAUCUCUCUCUAUAUAUAAAGCUGAAGUUGUCUGUGUAUGGCAGGUUUGGUAGCCUUCAACUAACCUUAUCUCCUCCGAGACCCUGCGGCGCAAGUUGACCAAAAUUGAAAGUAUGAUAGAAGAAGGCUUGCUCUUCCUUCCGUAGAAGAAAAAAAUUCAAAUCGGACCAUGUUAACACCAAAAAUUAUUUACACCAAAAAGGUGCUUUUUUUUCUAUGAAAAUCCCUAUUUUUUACGAAUUUUUCACUGCAGUGUCGCCAUUUUUCGGUGUAUUUCAACCAGAAAAAUGUUCACUUAAAGAGAAUAACAAGCUACAUAAUGCAAAAUGUUUACUUUUCUAAAAUUCCAAUUCUAAAGGGUGGAAACAAACCCGAGCAACGCCGGGCGAUACUGCUAGUGUAUAUAUAUUUACGACUCCUCGAGGCGGCGAGUGGGCAGUAUCAUUAGCUCGCCGGGCAAAAUGCUUGGCGGCGUAUCGUCCCUCAUCACGUUGAGUUAAAAUUCUCCCGAGGUCGACAUCACCUUUCAUCCUUUCGGGGUGGAUAAAAUUAAGGACCAGUUCAGCGCUGGGAUCGAUGCAAUCGAUUUAACCCCCCCUUCCCUCGAAAUUGCUGGCCUUGUGCCAAAAUUUGAAAUCGAUACUUUACGACUCCUUGAAAUGGACACCUCUCCCACUCCAAAAAAUAGGCUGGUCAUGGGUGGCUCGUAAGGAUCAGCUAUGAUCCUUACGAUAAACAGUAACAACAACUAGCAACAGUUUAGUCCAGCUAAUGAGGAUCUCUCCAGCAGGCCCAUGGAUCAUUUGGGACCAGGCCACACGGAAAUAAUAAAUUUGAAAUACUUGUAUUUCUAUUUUAUUAAUUAUCACAGUCUGUAGAGUGUUUUUGUAUUAUGCAUGUAAUAUAACUGUGUGUCUGUGUGUGUGUAUGUAUAUAUAUACACACACCUUGACAGCCGGAGUUGUAUUCCGACUGACAGGUCGAAAAGUCAAUCUGGUUGUGGUUGUUUGUUGGAUUUAUAUUUUUCAACACAAUUUCCAUUCAAACACAACUGAUGCUUGAAAGCGACUGAGCGAGAGACAGUGACAGGCAGCGGAUACCUGGAUCUGAGGGAGGCCUGCGUUGCCAGAUGCUGCCAUAGAUGUCAUACGUGCGGCUACCCAACGUCCGAAAAUCGAUUUUUCAAUUUAUUUAUUUAAUUUUUUUUAUUUCUUAUUUUUUGUUGUCGAAAGCCACAUAGGUCAUAAGUCGAGGAGAAGGCGCAUAUAUUAUAUAUAUAUAUAUCGUCAGUAGUUAACAUAUCUGAAAGUGAAGCGCGUUCUAAAGUAUUAGAGCAAUAAUGUAUUUUUAGGAAGUUAAAAGUUAUGGCUGGUCAUAGUGACCUUUGGUUUUGCACCUAUGAAGUGCUUUGCAGUAUAGACGACUCCUCAGACUCAAAUGAUGUGCCUAGAGUCGCCUCUACUGCUAAGCGCUUUAUAGGUGCGAAACCAAUGGUCACUCUAUGACCAGCCAAAGCUUUUAACUUCCUAAAAUGUAUUUAUUAGGGAGGGCAUCCAGCUGUAGAAGCCAUGGCAAAACAGAAACGGAGCUUGGACAGCUCCCCAGAUGGCCAGCUCUUGUCAAACCGUCCAACUCAUGCCGGCAUGGAAAAUGGACGUUAAAUGAUGAUAAUGAUGAUGGCGAAAGGAACGAAUAUGCACACCUGGUGUUUAGGGUUAGGGAUUUUGUUAUGCUGAAAACAGGUGGUGUAUGUAUUCUUUACCUCUGCUGAUGUUGAUCCCCAACUCUAUACCCACCCUCAGCCUAACCCACACACCACCCUCGCUUCCCCCACAUCCCAACACCACCACACCAUACUCCACUAUACCACAUCACACCACCUCUCACACACUAGCACUGACCACUUCCCAGCGCCACACCAUCAUCCACACACCUACACAUGCAUACACGCACAUGUCAAGGUCACCAGCCUUCUUCCACAUGCACAUAACAUGCUCUCUUAUACACACGCAUACGCACCUUUGUUUUGGGAUCACCACUACUUUAUUAUCUCCCCUUCCCCCUAGCUCUCUUGUGUGACCCUUCUGUCUGGUAUUCGCCAUGAUAGAUCGCUAGCCACUACACAUUCCUUAUUUUCUUUCCUUGUUUCUUUCUGUGUCCCUUUCUGUGGAAGAGCAUAGGCUCAAAACGUUAAAAAAAUUUUCACUUCCCGAGCGUUAAACUAAUACAUCUGUUUGUUGUCUACACCACCUGUCUUUGUCUUUUUUCUGUGAAUUCUCCCUAUAUAUAUAUAUAUAUGCAUAUAUAUAUACAUACAUACAUAUAUGUAUAUAUGUAUAUAUAUGCACACAUAUAAAAUAUGUAUUCAUGUAUAGGCACAGGAGUGUCUGUGUGGUGAGAAGUUUGCUUCCUAACCAUAUGGUUCCAGGUUCAUUCCAACUGUGGGGAACUUUGGACAAGUGUCUCUUAUAGCCUCAGGCUGACCAAAACCAUGUGAGUAGAUUUGGUAGAUGGAAACUGAAAGAAGCCCGUUAUAUAUAUGAUGAUGAUGAUGAUACAUGUGUGUGUGUGCAUCUUUGUGCAUGUGUUUGUCCCCCCCCCCCACUUGACAACUGAUGUUGGUGUGUUUAUGUCCCUGUAAUGUAAUGGUUUUGGAAAAUAGACCUACAGAAUAAAAACAAAAUAUAUACUAGGGUUGAUUUGUUCUACUAAGAUUCUUCAAGGCGGUGCCCCAGCAUGGCCAUAGUGUAAUGACUAAAGCAAGUAAAACAUACAAGGAAGAUUAUACAUGUAACGAUUAAAUUAUAUAUUAAAACCAUUUAUUAUGCUUUGUUACGCAUGUGGUUUCCUGCAGCCUGUGGAAACCUUGUCUUGUAUGAAACUGGUCUGUGGUUGGGGUCAGCUACUCUACAUGGUCCUUAAUCUAGAAUUGGAAAUUCACUCUGUGCAUGAAAUUUAGAAUUUCAUAGAUCAUCGUGUUGUAUAUGUCUGUUGUUGCUGUUGAUUAAUCUUUAGUCAUCUUUAAUCCAGCAGACUUCUAUGAUCAAAAGCAUUUCAAUAAGGAUUUGACUACUAUUUCUAGCAUCUUGGAUGGCAGUAUAAGAGGGUUCCUCUUUUGCUGGUGUUUGUUGCAAGUUCUUAGUGUUUAGCUUCAGGUCAGCCCUGAUCCAAAAAUGGGAUGGUCAUAUUUGGAAAGCUUUAAAAGGAUGAGAUGGUGAUGGUUGGAUUACUUUUAAAAGAUGAGACAGCCACAGUUGGAAUGUUUUUAAAAGGACAGCCAUCUUUGAUAUGCUUGUAAGACUUUAGCAUUCUGAUUAUUUUGUCUUAUGUAAUGCAUAUUUAUUCAAAUUGUUUUCAAUUAAUCCUGCAUCUGUCCUCUUGUAGCUUCAAGAGUUUGGUGAUAUAACUCUGUUUUUAGAAUGACAUUGUAGGAUAUGUAUAAGAAGCCAGAUCUGGUUGGUGGAGCUAAAACAGGUAGAAUCUGAUAUGGUCAGGUGUGGCUGGUUGCAAUACUGAAGGGUUAAAGAUUAUACAACUUUUAGACAGAAGUAUAUUUUCAUGUGUCUGUGCGCACAUUUCUCUGCACCAUUCUGCACAAGCGUAACGGAAUCAAACCGUUCUUUAUUCUACCCCACCCCUACCCCAAACCCACUCCCACCAACACCUCAAACUCUUUUGAGGUUUUUAUUAAAAGACAACAUAGAAAUUUUAAGGCACAGAUCCUUUUGAUAAAACAUUUUAAUUAUAUAUUCAGUCUCUGUUAUAAUAAUUAACUUCAUUUAAGUCACUAAUUAAAGUCUUGCAGUAAAAAAACCUGCCUGCAACAAACUUUUAUUUCCUCUUUUGUUAAAUUUGUUAAAUUUUCAAUUAAGAAUUUUUUUUUGUAAUUGUAUAUCUUUUAAAAAUUUUACUUUUAGUUGUUUCUUUUGAGACGAUUUCAUCAUGACUUUAAUAACAUUUAAGAAAGGUUUAUUAUCCGUAAUCAUAUCCAUUAGAUCUCCCUUUAAGGGACUGUAAAUUCUACAUUCAUUGCCCUAAUGAUGUUAAUUAUCUGCCAAAAAAUAGAAACAAUAUUUUCUGCUUCUGCAAUACUUUUCCAUUCUCUCCCGUAAAUACAGUUUCCAUAUUCACCACUAUAAGUAUUUGAUUUUUUUUUCUAUAAAGAGAGAUAUUUGAUAAAAGAAAACAAAUAAUGUUGCGUCUGGGGAGAGUAAUUUUCUUUUUGUGCCUUAUUAUGUAACACACUCACCGGUAAAAUUUCCACUUAUUUCUUAUUUUUAUUUUCCUAAAAUUUUCAUUCCGUCUUGCUACCUUUUCAAUAGUUUUGGUGGAAAUUUUUCCGGUGAGUGUGUUACAUUAUAAGGCACAAAAAGAAAAUGACUCUCCCCAGACACAACAGAAUAUGCUUCAACACACGAACUCAUAUAAAGUCCCUUGCAAACCAAAUCCAAUAACGAAAUAUAAAACAAAUAAUGAAAAUCUGAAAAAAGCUGUUGUUUGCAAAGAGCAGAACUAAGAGUAUCUCUGCAUCUCACAAUAUAAAGAGAAUUUGCAGUUAAUGGCAAUAAAAGUUUGAAGGGACAUAUCCACUUACCACAUUCAAAAGAUUAAAUCUCAUUUCUCUUUUUGUUGUUGUUUCUUGUUUUUCAAGAAUUUAUCCUUAUCGUGAUGUACAGGCAAAAUUGUAAAAACAUCAAACAAAAUCUCUGCAAUAGAAAGUUAGACUUCACGUUCCAAGUUCAGAAGACCCUGCUAAAGGUCAACUUUUAUUUUUAUCAGGAGUUGAUAAAGUUAGAGCAUCCAAAAUAUGUGAAUGAAUUAUUACAAAGGACUUAGAAGAGAACUGUUAUUGUGUGUGUGUUUGUUCAUGGCUUUUGAUUUCCUUUUGAGAACCAUUUCAUUUAUGUGGCUGAAGUGUCAUUCAAUCAAGCAUGCACACAUGUUCAAGGAGACUGGACUACCAAAUGGUUCUGGGUUCAGUCCCACUGUGUGGCACCUUGGGCAAGUGUCUUCUACUAUAGCCUUGGGUCAACCAAAGCCUUGUGAGUGGCUUUGGUAGAUGGAAACUUUUAAAAAGCCUGUUGUAUAUAUAUAUGCACAGGUGUAGCUGUAUGGUAAGUAGCUUGCUUACCAACCACAUGGUUCCAGGUUUAGUCCCACUGUGUGGCACCUUGGGCAAGUGUCUUCUAUUAUAGCCUUGGGCAGACCAAAGCCUUGUGAGUAGAUUUGGUAGACGGAAACUGAAAGAAGCCUGUCAUAUAUGUAUAUGUUUGUGUGUCUGUAUUUGUCUGCCCCCACCAUCACUUGACAACUGAUGUUGGUGUGUUUAUGUCCCUAUAACUUAGCUGUUUGGCAAGACACUGAUAUAAUAAGUACUAGGCUUACAAAGAAUAAGUCCUGGGGUCGAUUUGUUUGGCUAAAGGUGGUGCUCCUGCAUAGCCGCGAUCAAAUGACUUAAACAAAUAAAAGAAUAGCAGUUUGUAUCAUGUACCUUCCCCAUAUUUGUACAUUAGUCACAAUGCGUUUCACAUUAUUUUUGUUUUUGAAUGAUGCCACCAUGCUGCUGGCUCUGCGAGCUGGCUCACAUCUGACCGGAAGGAUAUUCCGGUGCAGGGUGACCCAUAUACAGCUGAGAUGACCGGAACAAUGUGUAAUGAAGUGUUUUGGUCAAGAACACAAUGCACUGCCUGGUUGAGGAAUUGAACCCAUGGUCUAGUGAUUGUGAGUGCCUACAGAAAGAAAGAAAGAGAGAGAGAGAGAGAGUAUGCCACUGAUAUACUUCUGUGCUUUUCAACACUAUGUCUAUGGAGGAAGCUUUCUCAAGACAAAUACUGCAGUUUCAUGGCUUUCACUAGUGUAUCCACAUUAAGUAAAAUAUACAGAAUUCCAUUCUGAAGCAAUAUUGCUUCCCUCACUAAUGACUUUAUAUAUAGUCAUAUAUACACAUAUAUAUUAUAUGUGUACACAAGUGUGACUGGGUUAAGAGGUUUGCUUCCCAACCCUGUGGUUUCAGGUUUCGUCUUACUGUGUGCCACCUUGGGCAAAUGUCUUCUUCUAUGUACUGUAUCGUUGAAUGGAUUUGUUAAAUGGAAACUGGAAGAAGCUCAUUGUGUGUGUUUGUAUUUUCCCAUCUUGUAACAAGUGUCAGUGUCAUACGAGUGAUGUGAUUUGUGUUCAGUCUUCCAUGGAAACCAUGUCCAGUCAUGGAGAAAUAUUCUUUUCUACUCUAGGCACAAGGCCUGAAAUUUUGGGGGAAGGGGUGGGCAGUUGAUUAGGUUGACCCCAGUAUGCAACUGGUACUAUCGACCCUGAAAGGAUGAAAGGCAAAGUUGACCUCGGUGGAAUUUGAACUCAGAAUGUAAAGGUCAGACGAAACCCUGCUAGGCAUUUCACUUGGUGUGCAAAUGUUUCUGUCGGCUCACCAUCUUACCUUACAGUGAAGGUUGUUGAUAGGAAAGGCAUCUGACCACAGAACAUUUGGCUCAAGGAAUUCCAUCUGACCCAUGCAUGCAUGGAAAAGUAAAUGUUACAAUAUAUGCAAAUAAACACAAAAUACUUGUCUCUUUUAUGCUGGCAUGGAUGGUUCAACAGGCAGAACCUGAGUCGGAGGACUGCAUUGAACUCCAGUGUUUGUUGUAUGGGGUUUCUAAAAGCUGAAUGCUUUUUCUAACUCUGACCACUUUACAGUGUGUACUGGAUGCUUUCCAUGGCAACAUCACCAACGAGGUUGCCAUGUCACUUGCAAAACCAAGAAAAGACUCUUGGUUGAGUUGGGGUUCUGGUAGAGAAGAAUGUGGCUGUUCAUAUGUUUGUAAUUUUGAUGGGAAAUUAAAAUUUAGAUUACAUUAAUCCCUUGCCAUAUCGUGGGUCACCUAUCGUGUCCUCAGUACGUCACAGAUUUUUCUGGCUGAUAUAUGUGAAUUUAUAUCAUAGAAUCCUCAGUAUAUCUGGGUUUCUGUAGCUGAUAGGUAUUUAUAUUUUUUAAAUUUUAAUUAUUUCUGCGAGAGAUUUUGGAAUGUCAAGGGAUUAUAUUGGAGUCCCCCUUUGGUCAUGACUGACCAUGGGAUUCCACCUAGAAAGUUACCCUCCGAGGCACAAGUCUGGGCAAGGUUGUUUAUGGAAGACCAGCAGUCACCCAUGCAUACCAACCUCCCCUCUGCACACCACUGAUGUUAUCCAAAGGAAAGGCAAAGGGGCCGAUACAACUUGGCACCAGUGAUGUCGCAACUCAUUUCUACAGCUGAGUGAACUGGAGCAACAUGAAAUAAAGUGUCUUGCUCAAGAACACAAAACACAGGCCAGUCUGGGAAGCGAACUCACAACCUCACGAUCAUAAGCUCGAUGCUCUAACCACUGAGCCAUGCGCCUUCACGUCAAGGGGUUACUGCACUUUAAAAUAGAAAAUUUGCGUUGUAGAACCAGAGGAGAUUAAGCCUUUGAAUUAUAGGUACAAUGCAUUUGAUAGGCUUCUGCACAGUUUCUUUUUGUUCCUAACGGCCUUGAGUAUGGUAAAAACACUUGCCCAAGAUACCAUGCAAGUGGUGUUGCGCAUAGGAUCCUUGUGAUUGUGAAAUAACUUAUAAUGUUUAAAAGCAUUCCAUCAUCACUCAACCAUGCUUCAGAAUUCUUACCAUUUUACAUUCAAAUGUCUUCCUUAUGGUCAUUUGCUUCUUGGAAUCACUGUCUACGUAGCACUCCAAUAUUUGUCCCCUUUAGUUCUGUAUGUUCUAAACCAAUUACCUUAGGUUUCAUUAAGCUUCAUCAUUGUCGUUUAAUGUCUGCUUUCUAUGUUGGCAUGGGUUGAAUAGUUUGACUGAGGACUGGUGAGCCAGGAGACUGCACCAGACUCCAGUCUGAUCUGGCAGUGUUUCUACAGCUGGAUGCCCUUCCUAACACCAACCACUCCGAGAGUAUAGUGGGUGCUUUUACAUGCCACCUCCAUGGGUGCCAGUCUGGCGGCAUUGGCAAUGACCGCAUUUGAAUGUUGUUUUUCACGUACCAGUAAUACGACGCUCACAAUGAUCAUGCUUGAAUGGUACUUUUUAUGUGCCACUGGCUCGAGAGCCAAUCAGCCGCCCUGGCAACGAUCACGCUCGGAUGGUGCUUUUAACGUCCCACUGGCAUGAGUGCCAAUCAGGCAGUACUGUCAUUGGCCACGUCAGCGAUUUUGAUUUCACUUGUCUCAAUAGGUCUUUGCAAGCAAAGUUUAUUGUCCAAUGAAUGAGGGGUACUCAUAAGUGGGCUGGUUAUACCCACUGGCAUUGGCCAUGGGUUACGGUCUCACUUGACUUGUCGGGUUUUAUGAAUUGAAACCCCACAGACCUGUUUUUUUUGUCUCUUUUCCUCUCUUUGGUCUCAAUAUGGACUGAUGUCUCCAUUUGGCACAAUCAGUGACACGUCUAUCUCUCUUAGAAGUCACAAAUAGAGUAAAAUUCAAACAAAAUAAACUAGGCUUGGCUGUGUGGUAAGAAGUUUGCUUCCCAACGACAUGGUUCUAGGUUCAGUCCCACUACAUGGCGACUUGGGUAAAUGUCUUUUACUAUAGCCUUGGGCCAACCAAAUCUUUGUGAGUAGAUUUGGCAGACGGAAACCGAAAAGAAACCCGUCGAGUGUGUGUGUGUUUAUUCCCCACCACUGCUUGACACCUAGUGUUGGUGUCUAUGUCCCCAUAACUUAGUGGUUCGGCAAAAAAAGUCCAACAGAAAAGUACCAAAAAACAGUAAGCAUGGGUGUCAGUUUGUUCUGCAAGGUGGUGCUCCAGCAUGGCUGCAGUCUAAUGACUGAAACCAGUAAAAGAUAAAAGCUAAGAAUAUCACAAAAUUGAGAGAUAUCACCACCAACAACUGUAGUGUGAUCAAUCUAAAAAAUGUCCAGCUCCAUCUCCCGGUCAACUGUGGGCUGCUCAGUAAACAAACCUGGCAGCUGCGGGAUUUUCAAAUUCCUGUUUGUCAUUUUACCUGGAUUAAAGAAGAGACUGGACAAUCUUUUGCUGGAUAUUUAGAGUUGCACCUGUAUUUGUAUAGUUAUUUGUGGAUUUAUUUUUAUACAUACAUGCAUACGUGGUAGGUAUGUGUGAUUUUGUAUGCAUAUAUAUAUACAUUUAUAUUUGGGUGUAUGCAUGUCUCUAUAUGUCUAAGCAUGUAUAUGUGUGUAGUGAUAUAUUUAUACACACUGUGGAGCUUGGUUUACGAAUUUAAUUUGUUCCUGAAGGCUGUUCCUCACCUGAAAUGUUUGUUAACUAAAAUGAUUUUUCCUGUAGGAAAUUCAGGAGAAGGCACAGCAAAUUCAAGCGGGGAUAUGCUCUGAGUGAAAACUAGACUGCAACAGGUGCCCUCUCAUAGAUACACCCUGCUUGUCACCAACCUUUGUUGCAGGCUUCUGUGUUCAUUACUUGAGACACUGUUUGUCACCUGAGAUGUUUUAUGUUAAAAAAUUUGUUCAUGAUGAGAGGUGUUUGUAAACUGAGGUUCCACUGUAUAUAUUAAAAAGACAGACAGAUAGAUAGCUUGUAUAAUAUAUAUAUAAUCAAAAUAAGCAACAAGGAUAUCCAAGGUAGUGUAGUACAAUCGUUUCAUGCUACUACACUACCUUGGAUAUCCUUGUUGCUUAUUUUGAUUAUAAACACCCCAUUUCAUUUAUAUGGAUAAUACCAUACCAGAUUCUGGUGCCUUUAAAUUAAGUACCAUAUUCAUCUGAAUCUAAAUUUUGCUGAACUUAUAUAUAUAUAUAUAUAUAUAUAUAUAUAUAUAUAUAAGUAUGGUGAUGCAAAGAGGGAAAAUAGAACUCAAAAUAUGAGAGUAUAUUUUUAUUAAUAUUUAGCAGAAGCAACAGAAUGACUCAAGGGGAGAGUUUCAUGCGUUGGCACUUAUCAAAGCUUGAUGCGUGCUAACCAGGGCUGUGGAGUCAAAACAAAAGACUUUGACUCUGACUCCUCUACUAUUGACUCCUCUUUAUGUAAUUAAAGUGAUUUUGGUCUACAUAUCUCAUAAAACAUAUGCAUACACUUGUACUUUGAGCAGGUCUUUAUGUUAUAACUGGUUUAUAUUAAAGAAUAAAGAUAUUACGAGUUGGAGUUGGUGUAGUUUUACCAUCUCUGACUCCAACUCCAGAUACGCCUUAAUUGUUUCUGACUGACUCCACAGCCCUGGUGCUAAAACACAUUCGAGUUGCUGUGUUGCUUCUGCUAAAUAUCAAUAAUAUAUAUAUAUAUAUAUAUAUAUAUCAUUUAACACCCACUUUCCAUGCAAUAUAUAUGUGAUUAUAACCAAGGAGAAUGGAGUGAGAGAGAACUUUUUUAUUUCAUUGCUUUACAAUUGUUUCCUCAAACAUCAAUCUCGUGUGCAUUGCUAUAUUAUUCAACAAUACAUGCAGCCGUUAAUACAUGUGGUGUUCUUGAUACAUUAUCAAAGACUGAUUCUGAUGAAUCAUACGAAAAGGUUAUUUAAUAGGGAACUCCUGGAUUAACACCCAAAUGGAAUAAUAAUAAUAAUAAUAAUAAUAAUAAUAAUAAUGUCUUAACUGGUACAUCACACAUAUUGAGAAGAGCAUUGUCGAUGUGAGAACUGUUGCUGCUCAUGUAUUUUAAUUUAACUUAAAAAAAAAAAAAUAAAAAAAAAAAAUGAACGAACUACUGAGUUUGGUUUAAUGGCCUACCAUUGUAUACUAUGAGUUUCUUUGCCCUAGGAGUCGGGAAGACACUCGGCAAGAAAUGGAAGCAAAUUUGAAAGAAGAAAAAAAAAAGUAAUAAUAAUAAUAAUAUCUAUAUAAAGGUAGAAUGACAGAUAAACACUGGUAGGCUUCAAUUGUUUGUUUACAUGGUGUAUGAAAUACAGAUUACAGAAUAAAGACAAAAGGAAUUAUGCAGAGUCUUAUAUGGGCAGUUGUUUUGGGACAUAGCUUGUGUAAUAACCACAUUCAUUCAUAAUAUGUGCAUGAUGUCAGGUGUGUGGCACACCUGAAGUUCCAAAAAGUAUUAAGGCAAGUAAAGUGACUCUCCCCAAGACAAAGAUGGCAAAUACAAACAUAUGUGUAGACAGACAGAUAGGUAUGUGUAUAGGUAUGUAUGUAUAUGUGUGUAGAUAGGUAUGUAUGUAUAUGUGUAGGUAGGUAGGUAUGUACUAGGGCUAGGCAAAAUAAAGGAAACGCCUUGUUUAAUGGAAGUUGUAGUCUUUAAUAAGGAAUUGGUCUAACUUUGGCAUUAAUCUCACUUUGAUAAUUUGAAGAAUUUGACUUCAACAUGUUCUGAAUAGUUGUUAGGGGAAUUUUGUGCAAUUCUUUGAAUAAAACCUGCUUCAGUUCAUUCAGUGUUGGUGAUAGAGAGAAAGAACUCCUCUCUUGCUGUUCCAAAUGUACCGUAAAUGUUCAAUUAUUUUGAGAUCCAGUGAUUGUGGAGGCCAAUCCAAGACCUUCACUUCCUUCCCCCAUCCAUCCCUCCCUCCCUUUUUCUCCCUUAUUUCUUUUUUUUCUCUUUUCUCUUAUGUUGUCUCAUGGUUAGUUUCUUUUUCCAUGAGACAUUCACAUGUUGGUCUUCAUCAGCCACAUGUGAUCCCAACCAACUAUGUGGUCUUAAUCAACCAUGCGUGUUUUUAAUCUUCUACAUGUGUUUUUAAUCAACUACAUGUGUUUCUAAUUAGCUACUUGCCUCUAAUCAACUACAUAUGUUUCUAAUUAGCUACAUGUGUUCCUAAUCAGUUUCAUGUGAUCCUAAUCAACUGUAUGUGUUUCUAACUGACUUCAUGUGAUCCUAACGGACUACAUUUCACCUUAAUCAUCUACAUGGGAUUUUAAUCCUCUACCUGUUGUUUCUGCCAGGAAGUAAACCUAGAGGACGGAAGGUGGGGGAGGGAAACUAUCUCCAAGACAAAUAUCUGUGGUUAACGAAGAAGGAAAAUAAUAAAGAAUGCUAUCUAAUUAAUUAAUUAAUGGAUUAAGGUGGUGAGCUGGCAGAAUUGUUAGCAUGCCAGGUAAACUGCUUGGUGGCAUUCCGUCCGUUUGUAUGUUCAGAGUUCAAAUUCCACAGAGGUCAGCUUUGUCUUUUGUCCUUUAUGGGGAUUGAUAAAAUAAGUACCAGUUGAAUACUGGGGUUGACGUAAUCAACUUAGCCCCUUCCUCUGAAAUUGCUGGCCUUGUGCCAAAAUUUUAAACCUAUUAACGGAGUCAAUGUAUGGCAGCUUGAUCUAUUAGAAAUAGCAACUAAAUUGUCCUCAAAUCACAUCCUUUCAUCUUAAAAGAUAAGACACAUUAGAUAAUGUAAUCCGAGAUACACUGUACUUAAAGAAAAGAGUGGAUGACCAAGGCUAACUUAAAGAUUAACCCAUUAACUCCCAGAGUACUUAAAUUUCUGAAUAUUACUUUUAAAUUUUUACAGAUGAUUGAAAAUAGGUUAAAAUGUAAAAAAUAAUCAUUAAAACUCCUUUACUUCAAGUAGAAAUGGAAAUACUCGGUGUCCUAUAAAUAGGACACUGAGACAAUGUGAUAUAGCUUAUUUAAGGUUCUCAUCUAGUGUCCUAUUUAUAGGACAGUAGGACUUAAUGGGUUAAGCAAAAUAGCAGCUGAUAUUUGAUUAAAUAACAUAUCUGAAGAUAGACAGGAAUGAGGGAAGCGGUUUAUAUUUACAAAUUUAUAGUUUUUGUUCAGCCCUAAGAUUAGAGCUAUGAUCAGACAUUCCAGCCAUGAUCAACUCAUUUUUUUGCUUAUUUGUAAUAUCUCCGACUAUAUUGACCAAUAUCUCCAAACUUUUAAAACAGUGUAGGAUGCAAUGUGAUUUUUAAAAGAAUGUUGUUGCUAUUUCUAACUGGUCAAACGGUCAUGUAGAAGCUUUAUUAUUGGCUCAAAAUCUUAUGAUGUCAAUUCUAGGUUAGAUAGUUCCUGCUCAGUGGCGCCUCCAUGGCGGUGAUGCGGUGGUGUUUCAAUAGCUGUCUGUUGAUUGGUGUUUUCUUCAUAAAGACUAGAUUUUUAAACUUCAAAGAUGUAUGUGCUGAAGAUUUACCAUCUUGUGGUUUGAAAUAGGAGAAUAUGGAGAACAGAAGAAAACGAAGAAAUACUCAAACCAUUUGUUUACUAAUAAGAUUUCUGAUAGCUUCCACAUACCACACCCUUCUUUAUGUUCUACAUCCUGUUCUUAUGUAAGAUAAAUUGAUUAUUUUUAAAAAUAAUUUUAUUUAUCAUACCUCAUUCUUACGAAGGUUAAAUGGCUCAAAUAUGCCACCUGUCUUGCGAUAGAAUAAAUAGUCAAGCAGCAGCGUUUCUUUGCCAUUCCCAGGCUCUGUGGCCAGUUAGGAAUAUUUAUUUACCACACUCUAUCUUAAAUAGUUAAGUUAGUGUUAACAUAUUUAAAGCAGAGAGUAAUGAAAGAAAACAAAACUAACGAGGGGUAAUUACACGGUGAGACAUUAUAUAUGAAAAGAGGAAGGCACGUGGCCUAGUGGUUAGGAUGUUGCACUGACAAUUGCCAGACUGCGAGUUCAAUUCCCAUACUGGACAGCACAUUGUGUUCUUGAGCAAAACGCUUCAUUUCUCAUUGCUCUGCAGGUGGGAGAGUAGCAGAAUCAUUGGUGCAUCGGCAGAGGUGCUUUACAGUAUAUCUUCCAGUUCUCUGUGUUCUAAGUUCAAAUCCUACCUGCCUGGAGAAGGCAACGGGAAACCAUUCCAGUAUUCAUCUCAAGUCUAGUCAUGUUUAGCCGAAGUUCCAAACAGCAGCAGAGUGGAGGCGCAAUGGCCCAGUGGUUAGGGUAACGGACCCAUGGUCUUAAGAAUGAGGUUUCGAUUCCCAGACUGGGCAUUGUGAGUGUUUAUUGAGCAAAAACACCUAAGCUCCAUGAGGCUCCAGCGGGGGUGGGGGUGGAGUGAAGGGGGGUGAACCCCCACUGUACUCUUUCACCACAACUUUCUCUCUUUCUUCCUACUUCUGCCCCAAAGCAGAGGAACCCUGGUGUAACCCACUAUGGUGUGGUAAACUUUCAGACCCUAGUCUAGAUUGUGAAUCCUCUGUACCCCAGGAUUGUUCAGCUCUCCACCCGUUAAAAGCCACCGUUUACGGAAUGAGGAUAACAACACAGCUUUCAUGCCCGUGCAACCGCCAGUCUAUCGUGUGUGGUGGGUGGAUCUUCAAGUUGCCACACGCAUUCUUAGUGGCUUAGAGUAGGCUCGAAUUAGAGAUUAUUCUUUGUGGCUAAUGGCGUGAGUCCUGAGUGGAAGAAGAAGAACAGCAGCAGAGGAGGAUACAAGUCCUUGUAGGUCAUAUAGGGAGUGCUGGAGAAGGUUCACAUGCACAGGACCUGCCCAAGGGAAUUAAACUCGUGAUCUGGCAAUCGUAAUUGCAACACCCUGACCACCAGACCACACACUUUGCACUUCUAUGUAUAAUGUCUUACCACAGACUAGACCAGAUAUAUAUAUGGGUGGGUGGGUGUAUGUGUGCAUGGUGGGGAAUAGACUGUUUAAUAAAGGUUCAUGUAUAUUUUUUUUUAUACAGAGUGCAGUAAGGGCUGACCUAGAAAUAAUUAUAUUGGGAGACAGCUUGAUGGUCAUCAUUGUUGUUUCAAGCCCAGUUUUCCAUGCUUGCAUGGCUCAGAGGGAAUCUGUUUAAGUGGAUUUUCUAGAACUGUACAAUGCUGUCUGUCUGUCUGUCUGUCUCAAUCCACAACUGUUCCCAAGCAAGUAAAUAAUUCUCCAUGGCCAGAAAUGUUUUCCAUGGACUUCGCUGAACUUGUAAACCCCUUUCAUUACCAACCUGUCUGAAACCGGUUCUGGCUCUGAGUACAAAUGUCUUGUUUUCAUAUGUUUUGAAUUAAAAUCUUCCACCAAACCUUAGUCUCAAUUUCUGUUCCUAACACUACUUGAAUGAUAACUAAGUUAUUUUACUAAAUUCUUUGUUAUAUUUAAAGUAAUUUAAAGAAACACAGAGCAGGAGUGGUUGUGUGGUAAGUAGCUUGCUUACCAACCACAUGGUUCCGGAUUCAGUCCCACUGCGUGGCAUCUUGGGCAAGUGUCCUCUACUAUAGCCUCGGGCCGACCAAUGCCUUGUGAGUGGAUUUGGUAGACGGAAACUGAAAGAAGCCUGUCGUAUAUAUGUAUAUAUAUAUGUAUGUGUGUGUAUAUGUUUGUGUGUCUGUGUUUGUCCCUCUAGCAUUGGUGUGUUUAUGUCCCCGUCAUUUAGUGUUUCGGCAAAAGAGACCGAUAGAAUAAGUACUGGGCUUACAAAGAAUAAGUCCCGGGGUCGAUUUGCUCAACUAAAGGCGGUGCUCCAGCAUGGCCGCAGUCAAAUGACUGAAACAAGUAAAAGAGUAAAAGAGAGAGAGCAUCUCAAAAUAAAUACAGUAACGAAAGGGUUAAAGUAGUGAUGGCAGAAUCUCUAAGUCAAUGUACAAAAUUUUAUAUGAUUUGGAUUUUACUCUCAAGAGUAAUGUUCAUUUAUUCUCUCUCUUUCAAACACACACACACACGUGUUUUGAAUUAAUCAAAUUUUAUCUCAGGUUUGAGAUUUUCGAUGAUGUGAUUGUUAAUUUUCAGAAUGACAUUGUCAGGUAGGUGUGAGAGGCCAGAUCCGGUCAGUUUGAACGUAAAACGGGUGGAGUAUUUUGGGCUGGAUUUGGCUGUAGGGUUACGGCAUCUGAUUGCGGGUCCCUAUUUUGGGGGUUGCGGAGUUUUGAGAAAUAUGAAACCACGUUUUGGCCCCUAUUGUUCCCAGCUCUAAUCUGACCGUUAGUAGCACCUGCCAGGGCCAUAAUUCUGUUUAUAUAGCAGGUAACCACCCAACCCAGGGUACAUUGAAAUCAUGAGAUGCAACAUGAUGGAUGUGAACUAUUUUGGCAGAUGAACUUCUUGAAUCAAUGGUGAAUGUCCCUAGAUCUGUGGUUCUCAACCUACUGACCCCUUUUUGUUUCUAUUUUGCUCUGCUGGACCUUCAUAACCAUUUGAUGUUUAAAACAAAUUCUGCAAUAUUUUUAUAAUUAAACUAGCAGUAUUGCUCGGGUUUGUUUUGACCCUUUAGAAUUGGAAUUUUUGAAAAUGUAGCUUGUUAUUCUCUUUAAGUGAACAUUUUUCUGGUUGAAAUACACCAAAAAAUGGCGACACAGCAGUAAAAAAAUUGUAAAAAAUUGGGAAUUUCAUAGAAAAAAAGCACCUUUUUGAUGUAAAUAAUUUUUGGUGUUAACAUGGUCUGAUUUGAAUUUUUUCUUCUAAUGAAGGAAGAGCAAGCCUUCUUCUAUCAUACUCUCAAUUUUGGUCAAGUUGCGCCACAGAGUCUCGGAGGAGAUAGUGUUAGUUGAAGGCUACCAAACCUGCCAUACACAGACAACUUCAGCUUUACAUAUAUAGAGAUAUUAUCAAGAAAUGUAUAACAAGAAUUGUUAAAAUAAAAUAUUUGUAUUGUAAAAGUCUAAACAAUUUAAUGGAGAUUAAUUUUAACAGAAGAGUCUUAAGUGGACCCUCAUUUAAGUGCUGCUGCACCAGAUGCUGAGUGGAUGAACAGGCAAGAAACUGUCAACAGCCAGGAUGAAUGAGUUCAGUUAUCAAGCUUCUGCUAUCAUCUGUAGUCACGGCUUUCACAGAUAAGAUAUUCCAGCUCGCAAAAGACCAACGUGAAUAAAUCCCAAGCCAGACAUUCCUGCUGCAUUGGUUGAUUGGGCCACCUGGCGAGGAAGAGUUGCAUUGGUCUGGGAAAGUCUUUUGACUGGAUGGUCAUCAAUGAUGGUGUAGAAAAACAGAAUUAUUUAGAGCAUUAGACUACGACUCAGUGGUGCUGUUGGCAUGGAAAAUAAUAGCUAAGUUAGUGUUAAUAUAAUUAAUGUGGAGAGCAUUUGAGAAAGCUAGCUUGAUAUAUAUAUUUCACUGUAUUUAUUUAUUCAUGUGAAGUGCAAGGAAUGUAAUACAAAGUAGUAUUGUAUGUGACCUUGUGCCUAUAGCAGAAGGGGUCGAGUUGGUAGGAGUGUUAGCACAUCAGACAGAAUGCUUAGCAGGGUUUUGUGUGUGUCUUUACGUUUUGAGUUCAAAUGCUGCUGGGGUCGAUUUUUGCAUUUCAUCAUUUCAAGGUCGAAAACAUAAGUACCAAUUGAACAUUGGGGGUCAAUGUAACUAAUCUAUCCCCUCCCCUCGAAUUGCAGACCUUGUGCCAAAAUUUGAAACCAUUGUUAUUGUGCAGGUGGUGAGCUGGCAGAAUCGUUAGCAUGCCAGAUAAAAUGCUUAGCAGUACUUUGUUCAUCUUCAUGUUCUGAGUUCAAAUUCUGCCGAGGUCAACUUUGCCGUUCAUUUUUUUUGGUGUCGAUAAAUUAAGUACCAGUGAAACACUGGGGUUGAUGUAAUCGACUAGUGCCCUCCCCCUAAAAUUUCAGGCCUUGUGCCUUUAAUAAAAAGGAUUAUUAUUAUUGUUAUUAUUAUUACAAAGCGCAGGAGUGGCUGUGUGGUAAGUAGCUUGCUUACCAACCACAUGGUUCCGGGUUCAGUCCCACUGCGUGGCAUCUUGGGCAAGUGUCUUCUACUAUAGCCCCGGGCCGACUAAUGCCUUGUGAGUGGAUUUGGUAGGCGGAAACUGAAAUAAGCCUGUCGUAUAUAUGUAUAUAUGUAUAUAUAUAUGUGUGUGCGUGUAUGUUUGUGUGUCUGUAUUUGUCCCCCUAGCAUUGCUUGACAACUGAUGCUGGUGUGUUUACGUCCCUGUCACUUAGCGGUUCGGCAAAAGAGACCGAUAGAAUAAGUACUGGGCUUACAAAGAAUAAGUCCCGGGGUCGAUUUGCUUGACUAAAGGCGGUGCUCCAGCAUGGCCACAGUCAAAUGACUGAAACAAGUAAAAGAGUAAAAGUAUUAUUAUUAUUAUUAUGUUUGACUUUUGCUUUGUAUUUGUACAAGUUGACUCCAAGUCUAACCCAGAGACCUCAAGAGACUACAAGUUAGAAGUUCAAGUUGGUGUUAUGCAUAGCAUGCCAUAUACUUGGUUUUACACAAAGUAUUGUUCUAGAGAAUGUUUAAGAAAACAUAACAAAAUUGUUUGUUUUAAAAUUUGAGAUUACAUAGACAGUAUUUCAUGUAGGAUAUGGUCAGUUCCCCAUGAGCUCUAUCUUUUGAAUUUCUGCCAUUUUGGAGUUUCCUAGUAUCUGAGCUAGUUAGAAAUCAGCUCCUUUUGUUAUCAUUCCUAGGGCACCUAUUAUUAUUAUUACUAUUAUUAUUAUUAAAAACAUGUUUUUCUGAUACUGAACAUGACUUGAUGUAAUUUGCAAAAUUCUGUAGUUGCUUAAUCCCAAGUCAUCACUGAUCAAAUGCACUUAUGAUUAAAGUUUUCCAGCCUUGGUCCAUACUCCUUCUUUUCUGUCAGUGUGUCCAGUGUGUCUCCCCUGUUCCAUGUAGAGAGGAUUACAAUUAUUUUUCUUGUGGAGUGUAAACCUGACGGACCUGUUUCAAGGAUACAUGCGUGACACUGAGUCUAUUUGGUUCCCACACAGUAAAGGGUAAUGAAAUCGUUCUUCCAUCAAGAUGUCUUGCUAUACUUUCUUGGAGACACACAAGAUGCUAAUAUUGGAUAUAAGCAUUUACAAAAAUGCUUUUCCUGUUGCCAACCCUUUGCCUGUUUCCAAGCUAUAUAAUAUUUCCACAUGGACAGAUGUGUUGUUGGAACCGUAGGACAUUGCUCGUGAGAUGGUGGUACUCACAGCUAUCACAAGAUGACAAAGGAAGAAAACAGUAUCACACACACCACACCCACCCUCACAUCCCCACCCCACCCCCACACUCAUGCACACACCACCACCACCACCACCACACUCACGCACACACCACCAUCACACUCACGCGCACGCCAGCACCACACUCGUGCAUGCUCACCACCCCCAGAUGCCCACACUCCACAUGCACUCCCACCCCACCCCACACUCACACACACAUCACCACCACCAUCACACUCGCACACACACCACCAUCACACUCGCACACACACCACCAUCACACUCGUGUGCACACCACCACCACAAUUGCGAGCACGCCACCAUCACACUCGUGCGCGCUCACCACCACCACCACGGCACUUGCCCCCCCCCCCCCCCCCCGAUGCCCACACUCCACAUGCACUCCCACCCCACCCCACACUCACGCACACACACACCACCAUCACACUCGCACACACACCACCAUCACACUUGCGAGCACGCCACCAUCACACUCGUGCGCGCUCACCACCACCACGGCACUCGCCACCCCCACCCCCUUAGAUGCCCACACUCCACAUGCACCACCACCACCCCACACACACACAAGAGUUUCUUUAAGUUUCACAAGUCACUUACCCAAGGUACCACGCGGUGGGACCGAACUCGAAACCACGUGGUUAGCAAGCAGGUUUCUUUUUCCCGACAGCCACACCUGCCGCCUAUCAUCGUUAAGCACCGGCAUUUGUUUCAACCACUUAACAAAUGGCUCAGGUUCUGUCUUCUUGUCUCAUACACCAUUGCAGUGCAACAGCAAUGAAUUCUUAAUUCUCUUGUUCAGCAGCCGACGGAACCAUGCACGGCGAGUCUCUAAGUGCAGACUUCUUGUAUGGUUUGCACUCGCUUUUAUAUUUGACACUUGAUGAAACAGCAGUACAUGUAGUAGCGUGAGACGAGCUAUAAUUUCUUCGAGACUCACUCACAUUAUCUUGUAGUAAGUGCAGUAUUGUUGGCUUCAGUCAAAUGAUAAAAUAAAUUCUAAAUAUUACGAUGUACUUGCAUAGCAAGUGACCUGAGCUGAGAUCGUGUGCUGGAACAAAAAUGUAGUAGCGUGAGACAAGCUAUAAUUUCUUCAAGACUCACUCACAUUAUCUUGUAGUAAGUGCAGUAUUGUUGGCUUCAGUCAAAUGAUAAAAUAAAUUCUAAAUAUUAUGAUGUACUUGCAUAGCAAGUGACCUGAGCUGAGAUCGUGUGCUGGAACAAAAAUGUAGUAGCGUGAGACAAGCUAUAAUUUCUUCAAGACUCACUCACAUUAUCUUGUAGUAAGUGCAGUAUUGUUGGCUUCAGUCAAAUGAUAAAAUAAAUUCUAAAUAUUACGAUGUACUUGCAUACCAAGUGACCUGAGCUGAGAUCGUGUGCUGGAACAAAAAUGUAGUAGCGUGAGACAAGCUAUAAUUUCUUCGAGACUCACUCACAUUAUCUUGUAGUAAGUGCAGUAUUGUUGGCUUCAGUCAAAUGAUAAAAUAAAUUCUAAAUAUUACGAUGUACUUGCAUAGCAAGUGACCUGAGCUGAGAUCGUGUGCUGGAACAAAAAUGUAGUAGCGUGAGACAAGCUAUAAGUUCUUCAAGACUCACUCACAUUAUCUUGUAGUAAGUGCAGUAUUGUUGGCUUCAGUCAAAUGAUAAAAUAAAUUCUAAAUAUUACGAUGUACUUGCAUAGCAAGUGACCUGAGCUGAGAUCGUGUGCUGGAACAAAAAUGUAGUAGCGUGAGACAAGCUAUAAGUUCUUCAAGACUCACUCACAUUAUCUUGUAGUAAGUGCAGUAUUGUUGGCUUCAGUCAAAUGAUAAAAUAAAUUCUAAAUAUUACGAUGUACUUGCAUAGCAAGUGACCUGAGCUGAGAUCGUGUGCUGGAACAAAAAUGUAGUAGCGUGAGACAAGCUAUAAUUUCUUCAAGACUCACUCACAUUAUCUUGUAGUAAGUGCAGUAUUGUUGGCUUCAGUCAAAUGAUAAAAUAAAUUCUAAAUAUUACGAUGUACUUGCAUAGCAAGUGACCUGAGCUGAGAUCGUGUGCUGGAACAAAAAUGUAGUAGCGUGAGACGAGCUAUAAUUUCUUCAAGACUCACUCACAUUAUCUUGUAGUAAGUGCUGUAGUGUUGGCUUCAGUCAAAUGAUAAAAUAAAUUCUAAAUAUUACGAUGUACUUGCAUAGCAAGUGACCUGAGCUGAGAUCGUGUGCUGGAACAAAAAUGUAGUAGCGUGAGACAAGCUAUAAGUUCUUCAAGACUCACUCACAUUAUCUUGUAGUAAGUGCAGUAUUGUUGGCUUCAGUCAAAUGAUAAAAUAAAUUCUAAAUAUUACGAUGUACUUGCAUAGCAAGUGACCUGAGCUGAGAUCGUGUGCUGGAACAAAAAUGUAGUAGCGUGAGACGAGCUAUAAGUUCUUCGAGACUCACUCACAUUAUCUUGUAGUAAGUGCAGUAUUGUUGGCUUCAGUCAAAUGAUAAAAUAAAUUCUAAAUAUUACGAUGUACUUGCAUAGCAAGUGACCUGAGCUGAGAUCGUGUGCUGGAACAAAAAUGUAGUAGCGUGAGACGAGCUAUAAUUUCUUCGAGACUCACUCACAUUAUCUUGUAGUAAGUGCAGUAUUGUUGGCUUCAGUCAAAUGAUAAAAUAAAUUCUAAAUAUUACGAUGUACUUGCAUAGCAAGUGACCUGAGCUGAGAUCGUGUGCUGGAACAAAAAUGUAGUAGCGUGAGACGAGCUAUAAUUUCUUCGAGACUCACUCACAUUAUCUUGUAGUAAGUGCAGUAUUGUUGGCUUCAGUCAAAUGAUAAAAUAAAUUCUAAAUAUUACGAUGUACUUGCAUAGCAAGUGACCUGAGCUGAGAUCGUGUGCUGGAACAAAAAUGUAGUAGCGUGAGACAAGCUAUAAUUUCUUCAAGACUCACUCACAUUAUCUUGUAGUAAGUGCAGUAUUGUUGGCUUCAGUCAAAUGAUAAAAUAAAUUCUAAAUAUUACGAUGUACUUGCAUAGCAAGUGACCUGACCUGAGAUCGUGUGCUGGAACAAAAAUGUAGUAGCGUGAGACAAGCUAUAAUUUCUUCAAGACUCACUCACAUUAUCUUGUAGUAAGUGCAGUAUUGUUGGCUUCAGUCAAAUGAUAAAAUAAAUUCUAAAUAUUACGAUGUACUUGCAUAGCAAGUGACCUGAGCUGAGAUCGUGUGCUGGAACAAAAAUGUAGUAGCGUGAGACGAGCUAUAAGUUCUUCGAGACUCACUCACAUUAUCUUGUAGUAAGUGCAGUAUUGUUGGCUUCAGUCAAAUGAUAAAAUAAAUUCUAAAUAUUACGAUGUACUUGCAUAGCAAGUGACCUGACCUAAGAUCGUGUGCUGGAACGAAAACAAUUGCAGCGUGGAAGGUGUUUAUAAGCCAUUUAAGAAACACACAAAAACCGUUAGAUUCACUUCAACAUUUAAAUUUAAUUUGUGUCAAAAUAUUUUCGUCGCUUUGAGACUGCGACCCGUUCACUGACAAAACUUCGUUCUGCAUUCUAAAUUCUAAAUAAAUCAGCCGAAAUUCAAACAAUUCAGAGCAUAGACAUUUAUUUUGUUUUAUCUAAAGAAUUUCUUUCUAACCAUUUAGCAUUUUGGUUACUCAGUCAAAGGUAAUUCCUAUUUACUCUUUACUCUUUUACUUGUUUCAGUCAUUUGACUGCGGCCAUGCUGGAGCACCGCCUUUAGUCGAGCAAAUCGACUCUGGGACUUAUUCUUUGUAAGCCCAGUACUUAUUCUAUCGGUCUCUUUUGCCGAACCGCUAAGUGACGGGGACGUAAACACACCAGCAUCGGUUGUCAAGCAAUGCUAGGGGGACAAAUACAGACACACAAACACAUACACAUACAUACAUAUACAUAUAUACGACAGGCUUCUUUCAGUUUCCGUCUACCAAAUCCACUCACAAGGCUUUGGUCGGCCCGGGGCUAUAGCAGAAGACACUUGCCCAAGGUGCCACUCAGUGGGACUGAACCUGGAACCAUGUGGUUGGUAAAUAAGCUACUUACCACACAGCCACUCAUGCGCCAAUUUAUUCAUAUUGUUUGAAUGUAUUACAUGUAAACUCGUAGCUUUGCAAUGUCAAUGAUGUGAUUGAUUAUUUUUAUGAUGACAUUGUAGGAUAGGUGUGAGAGGCCUUGGCCAGAAAUGGCCAUCCCCCAAAAUACAAAGUGGCCAGCGGGCAGAAUUGUGAGUACACUGAACGAAAUGCUUUGUGGUAUUUCUUCUGGCUUUUCAUUCUGUGUUCAAAUUCUACCGAGGUCCUUUCAGCCUUUAGGGGUCAGUAAGAACUAGUUGAACACUGGGGUCAGUGUAAUCAACUUGCUCUUGACCCUAAAUUUCAGGUUCUGUGCCUCUUGUAGAAAGAAUCUGUAAUCUUUUCUCUUUCACUUGUUUCAGGCAUUGGACUGUGGCCAUGCUGGGGCACUGUCUUGAGAAAUUUUAGCUGAAUAAUUCAAACCCAGUAGUUAUUUUUUUAAAGCUUAGUAUUUAUUCUAUCAGUCUCUUUUGCCAAACUGUUAAGUUAUGGGGAUGUAAACAUACCAACAUUGCUUUUCAAACUGUGGUGGGAAACACACAGGCGCACACACUUACACACGCACACACUUAUACACACACACGCACACAUUUAUACACACACACGCACUUAUACACACACACGCACUUAUACACACACAUGCACGCACUUAUACACACACACGCACUUAUACACACACACACACUUAUACACACACACAUGCACUUAUACACACACACGCACUUAUACACACACAUGCACUUACACACACGCACUUAUACACACACAUGCACUUACACACACGCACUUAUACACACACAUGCACUUACACACACGCACUUAUACACACACAUGCACUUAUACAAACGCGCACAUAUACAUGCACACAUGCACUUUUACACAUGCACUUAUGCACACACACACACACAAACAUGCAUUUACACACACACAUGCAUUUACAUGCACACACACACACACAUAUAUAUAUAUAUGAUGCAUUUCUUUCCGUUUCCAUCUAUGAAAUUGACUCAUAACACUUUGCUCAACCCAAGGAGGCAUUCGCCCAAGCUGCCACACAUUGGGACUGAACCCAGAACCACAUGGUUUGAGGCAAGCUUCUUACCAUACAGUCGCACCCUUAUCCCCUCCAGUGGCUGACACAUUAAGGCAUCAGAAAAAAAAAGGGCUUGGUGAUAUUUCCUUAUAGGGCAGGGAGUGGGUGUCUGUUGUGUCCUUCCUCCCUCCUACCAGGGUCCAUUAAGAAUAAAAUACCAGUUAAAUACUGGUGGAGAUUUAAUGGGUCAUGCUUCUCCUUCCCCUCUUUGCAAAAAAAAACAAAAACUAAAAAAAAACCCAAAAUUACGACCUUGUGCCAAUAUUAGAAUUUUUUAUAGAAAAAAAGAAAUGCAAAAUAAAAGAAAAUAAAUAACUAAAACAAUUUCAUGGAUGUAUUCUAGAUAUUCUUUAGUCUUGUUUCGGCCAUGCUGGGGCACCGCCUUUAGUCGAGCAAAUCGAUCCCACGACUUAUGCUUUGUAAGCCUAGUACUUGUUCUAUUGGUCUCUUUUGCUGAACUGCUAAAUUACAGGGACAUAAGCAUACCAGCAUUGGUUGUCAAGCAAUGUUGGGACGCAUACACACACACACACAUACACACGCAUACAUAUGCAUGCACAGCAGUGAAACGUGCUGUGACUGUGGAGGACAUGUGUAGGCUCGAAAGAAAUGAAGCUAGCAUGAUCCACUGGAUGUGUAAUGUCAGUGUGCACGCAUGACAGAGUGCCCUGAGAGAAAUGUUGGACAUAAGAAGCAUCAGAUGUGGCAUGCAGGAGAGACGCCUGCGUUGGUAUGGUCAUGUGCUAUGGAUGGAUGAGGAGAGAUGUAUGAAGAAGUGCCACCCUCAAACAGUUAAAGGAAUCUGGGGUAGAGGUAGACCCAGGAAGACAUGGGAUGAGGUGGUCAAGCAUGACCUUCGAACGUUGGGCCUCACAAAGGCAAUGACAAAAGAUCGAAACUUCUGGAGAUAUGCUGUGACUGCAAAGACCCGACAAAUGAAGUGAGUUCACGGCUCGAAGGACAGCCUGCUGUGAUUACUUUGGAUCGUAGGGUGACCUACUGUGCUUGAGGAGACCUUUUGAGUCAAGUACAUCAACGCAGAAUAAAAAUCAAAUGUAAAUUGUAGUUGUGAUACCCGUGCUGGUGGCACAUAAAAAAAAAACAUUCAAACAUGGCCGAUGCCAGUGCCGCCUUGACUGGCGUCCAUGCCAGUGGCAUGUAAAAAGCACCCACUAUACUCACAGAGUGGUUGGUGUUAAGAAGGUCAUCCCAUCCAGCUGUAGAAACACUGCCAGAUCAGACUGGAGCCUGGUGCAGCCUCCUGGCUUCCCAGACACCGGUCGAACCGUCCAACCCAUGCCAGCAUGGAAAAUGGACGUUAUGAUGAUGAUGAUGAUGAUGGGCUUCUUUCAGUUUCCGUCUACCAAAUUCUACACACAAGGCUUUGGUCGGCCUAAGGUUAUAGUAGAAGACACUUGCCCAUGUGGGACUGAACCUGGAACCAUAUGGUUGGUAAGCAAGCUACUUACCACACAGCCACUACUGUGCAGUAAGUUUGCUUCCUAACCACAUGGUUCUGGGUUCAGUCCCACUGCAUGGUACCAUGGGCAAGUGUCUUCUACUAUAGCCUUGAGCCAACCAAAGCUUUGGGUCUGGUGGAGGGAAACUUAAAACAAAACAAAAAAAAAACCUAUCAUGUGUGUGUGUGUGUGUGUAUGUAUAUGUAUUUGUGUGUGUGUUUGUUCCCCACCCCCGCUUCACAACUGGUAUUGGUGUGUUUACAGUCACAUAACUUAGCAGUUUGGCAAAAGAGGCUUACAAAAAAAGAAAAAGUAAAAAAGGUAAUUAGUUCUGGGAUUGAUUUGUUUGGUUAAAAUUCUUCCAGGCGGUGCCCCAGCAUGGCCCGCAGUCUAAUAACUGAAGCAAGUAAAAGAAUAUCAUAACCUUCUAAUCUAUGUUCGGACAGAAUGGAAAAACAAACAUCGAAAAGAAAACAAACCAAGCAAACCAAAAAAAAGAAAAAACACAAAAAAAAACAAAAAAAAAAAAAGAGAAAAUGUAAUAAAAAAAAAAUGAGAGAAAAAGCAAAAAAAAAAAGCAAUCUAGUUUUUAUCCAUGUGAACACUUGCAGCCCUAAUCUAGCUUGUUGUUGCCCUCGUUUUGAUGUUAGAUGUUUAUAAGAUUGUAUUUAUCUUGUCUGUUACUAUUUCCUGCCAUGCAACAACUGCCAGACUUUCUUAAUUCCUGUGUCUGUGUUUUGUAAACCUUGAUAAAAACUACUGUUGCUGCUGCCACCCAAACCAAACCACCACCACCACCACCACCGCUGCUAAUGCCACCACCACCACCACCACUGCUAAUGCCACCAUCAGUACUGUUACCACCACCGUAGGAAUCACUGCAACCAAUACCAUCAACUGUUGCUGCUGCCACCAAUAUCACUACCACCAUCACCACCAACGCCACCACCAUCAUCACUACAACUACUGCCAACAUCACCACCACCACCACCAUCACUACCACCACCACCAUCACUACCACUGCCACCAUCAACACCACCACCACCAUCAUCACUACAACUACUGCCAACAUCACUACCACCACCACCAACAUCAUCAGUACCACCGCCGCCACCACCAACACCACCACCACCACCAUCAUCACUACAACUACUGCCAACAUCACCACUACCACCGCCACCACCAACCACCACCACCAUCACCACCACCACCACCACCACACCACCAUCAUCACUACAACUACUGCCAACAUCACCACUACCACCGCCACCACCAACACCACCACCAUCACCACCCACCACCACCACCAACAUCAUCACCACCACCACCAUCAUCACUACAACCACUGCCAACAUCACCACCACCCUCACCAUCACCACCACCACCACCACCACCGCAAUUAUAAUUACCACUGCUAUCAUGAUUAUUUCCACCACCAUCAUGACCACUGCUGUUGCUACCAUCUUCCCUUACUGCUUCAAGUCAUCUUUCUCUUUCUCCCCCCCCCACCACCCGUUCUACUUUUAUCUCUCAACUUCCCCCCCUCAUCCAUCCUUUCACCUGUUAUGCUACUGUUUCUCUUUCUCUCUCACUCUGCUUCUCUCUUUCAUGCUCUCCCCCCUCUCUCUCUCUCACCCUACCACUCACCUCCCCCUCUUGUUACCUCUCACCGUUUUCCUCUCUUCCAUACCUCUACACCAAAUUCAUUUACCUCAGAGUGGAUGCAGAUAUUUAUUAGGUACAAAUCCUUAUAUUUUACGCAAACCGUAUUCGAAGGCUAUACAAGGUCUGAUUAAAAAGUGUCGGGCACUGGUGCUAUAAAAAGAAAGCUGUUUGGUGUUUAGCCCCCUUCUCGUGUAGCCCCCUUCUGAAGCCACACAACUUAUCCAGUGUUGUUUCCUAUGGAAGGAAGUAUUCCUGGAAUCCCUAUUUCGGAAUAGUUGAAUAGCUACCUCGUCACGUUCUUUUGGAUUUCUUCGGCGCUUUGAAAUCUUUUUCCUUUCAAAUAGGAUUUGAUUUUUGACUUGAUUUUGGGGGUCAAAGCCUCAGACUCACAAUUCAUCACCAUUUUCGAAAACCUUUCAUUUUCCUAGACACGGCCAAGGAGAUCUUUUCGAGAUGACCGCACUCUACACAUUUCAAUUCCAAGCACUGCUAUAAACAACGGAAGUGAGCAAGAAUGUUGUGACUUAGUGUGCUGAUGCGACAGAGUUCAAGGUCAGCCUUUGCCAAGCGGAUUCAUGUGGAGGCCCACGGCCUAGUGGUUAGAGCAGCGGACUCGCGAUUGAGGGAUCGCGGGUUCGAAUCUCAGACCUAAAGUGAGCAAGAAUGUUGUGACUUAGUGUGCAGAUGCGACAGAGUUCAAGGUCAGCCUGUGCCAAGCGGGUUCACCGUGUGUGCUUUAGCUCUGUUACCAUAGUAACAGUCUUGACACUUUUUGAUCAGGCCUCAUAUAAUUAAUUCCUACACUAAUACAAUUUACAACACUUUUUCUCUUUUUAACUCUGUUUCUGACAAAAAAUACACUACUUGUGUAUCUUUAUUCUUUAGAUUGUUUCGGUCAUUUGACUGUGGCCAUGCUGGGGCACCACCUUGAAAGGUUUAGUUGAACAAAUCGACCCCAGUACAUAUUUUAUAUUUUCUUAAGGGUGCUACUUGUUCUAUCAGUCUCUUUUACUGAGUUAGUAAGUUACAGGGAUGUAAACAGACCAACACUGGUUAUCAAGUGGUGGUAAGGACGAACACACACACACACACACACACUCACUCACACAUUCACUCAUAUAUAUGAUGAGCUUCUUUCAGUUUCUAUCUACUAAAUCCAUUCACAAGGCUUUCAUUGGUCCAAAACUAAAGUGGACUUGCCCAAGAUGCCCAGGGACUGAACCUGAACACAUGUGGUUGGGAAGCAAGCUUCUUUACCACACAACCACACACACACCUGUUUCAAUUAAUUUUGAAAAUUAGGAGUUUCAAUAGAUUUAGAAAAAUGAUUAACUUUUUUUUAAUUAUUAUUCUACCAUUUGCAAACCUACAGAUUCUUAUGAAGCCAAGAAGAGAGCCUCCAGAGGUCACUUGACCAGCUAUACAUAGCAGCCAACUAUCCCUCAAUUCCUACCCAACUGUGUUAAAAAAGGAAGAAUAUAUUAGGAUAAUAUAGUCCUAUGUAUGCUGUAUGUCUUCAGAAAAGUUAGGAUGGUCAUGGUUAGAAGCAUCUUUCUUAUAGGACUCUCAGUCAGAGCUUGUCCCUCCCCUCCACUGUUUGACAACUAGUGUUGGUUUGUUUAUGUCCCUGUAAUUGUUUCGGCAUUGGAGAUUGAAUAAAUACCAGGCUCAAGAUAAAUGUAUAACACUGGGGUUGGUUCGUUUGACUAAAACCCUUCAAAGCUGUGCCCCAGCAUGGCUGCAGUCCAGUGACUGAAAGGAAUGCAAGACAAGAAGAUAUUUGGGUGGGUGGGGCUGAAAAGUUCCUGGCUUUGGGUAAAAGAAAAUAAUGGAGGAUCAGUUACGGUUUUAUUCAACAUAUUCUCAGAUUCACACACUUAUUGCAGCGAUCCUUCAGUUUUUCUAAGCCCUGUAAAAGAACUAGGAAGGUUAGACCUCCAACCAGGCCUUUCGUGAUGCCCUUAAAACCAGGAACUUUUCGGCCCCACCUGCUUGUAUAAUUUUUUUUCCCUUUUAUGGUUUCAAAUGCAUUUUUCAUGUUUGCAGAGCAUGUAGGAAAAUGUUUAUUUGCCAGCCUCCCCUGGCACCUGUGCCAGUGGCACGUAAAAAGCACAUACUGCACUCACAGUGUGGUUGGCGUUAGGAAGGGCAUCCAGACUGGUUCCUGUGCAGGUAGCAUGUAAAAAACAGCUUUUGAGCAUGGUUGUUGCCAGAACCACCUGACUGGCCCUUGUGCUAGGGGCAUGUAAAAGUACUCACUACACUUUCGGAGUGGUUGGCGUUAGGAAGGGCAUCCAGCUGUAGAAACACUGCCAAAUCAGAUUUAGCCUGGUGCAGCCUUCUGGCUUGCCAGUCCUCAGUUAAACAGUCCAACCCAUGCCAGCAUGGAGAACACAUUAAAUGAUGAUCAUGAUGUUGAUGAUGAUGAUUGUUUCCCCAAGUGGAUGGCUGCCCUUUUUGCCAUUAACCACUGGGAAGUAAAUGUGAAAUUAGGGUUUGCUUGUUGUUCAUCAUCAUCCUUUAACAUCCACUUUUCCAUGCUUGCAUGGGUCAGAUGGAAACUGUUGAGGCGGAUUUUCUAUGGGUGGAUGCCCUUCGUGUCACCAACCCUUACCUGUUUCCAGGCAAGGUAACAUUUCCCCCAUGGCCAGACAUGUCUUUCCAUGGAAGGUGGGGACCAAACAACAUCAUUCGUAUAACGGUGAUACUCAUCUACAACCAUUAUGUGAUAUAAUAACAAGAACACACACACACAGUGGGCUUCUUUUAGUUUCCGUCUACCAAAUCCAGUUAUAAGGCACUGUGGUUGACCUGCGGUUAUAGUAUGAGAUACUUGUCCAAGGUGCCACACAGUGGGACUGAACCCAAAACCAUGUGGCUGAGAAGCAAGCAUUUUAUUACACAGCCACACACACACACACACAUAUGGGAAUGGUGAUGUAAACAGGAAAAAUAGAACUCAAAAUACGAGUAAAUAUAUAUUUCUCAUCAUCGUUUAACGUCCGCUUUCCAUGCUAGCAUGGGUUGGAUGGUUUAACUGAGGACUGGCGAGCCAGGAGGCUGCACCAGGCUUCAAUCUGAUCUGGCAAAGUUGGAUGCUACAGCUGGAUGCCCUUCCUAACGCCAAUCACUCCGAGUAGUGUAGUGGGUGCUUUUACAUGCCACUAGCAUGAGGGCCAGUCAGGCAGUUCUGGCAAUGACCACGCUCAAAAGGUGUUUUUUACGUGCCAUCUGCACAGGAGCCAGUCUGGCGGCACUGGCAACAACCACACUCGAAUGUUGUUUUUCAUGUGCUGCAGUCCUUCAGUUAUUCUGUUGCUGCUGCUAAAUAUUAAUGAAAAUGUUUCCACUCUGUUGAGUGGUUGGUGUUAGGAAGGACUGGCUCUUGUCAAACCAUCCUACCCAGGCCAGCAUGGAAGGUGAAUGUUAAACGAUGAUGAUGUGUGUGUGUGUGUGUAUGUGUGUUUGUUUAUGUAUCAUGACUUAGCAGUCUGACAAACUGCAUUUAAUAAAAUAAGUAUCAGACUUUUAUUUAGUUUGAUUAAAACUUUUCAAUCCCACCAUAUCAGAGACCUGCUUGAAACUUAGUGUAUAUAUUAUAUACUUAUAUCUAUAUAUUAACGAACUAUAUAUUAAUUAACUGUUCUACAUUAAUGAUCUGUUGCUAAUUUUAUGUGACUGAUUUUUUGUUUUAUUUGUUGUUUCGUUUUCUGACAAUCAUUUUCUAGAAUGAAUUCCAUCCCAUUUCUUUUUUUUUUCUUUCUUGUUUAAAGAUUUUGAACAUGAAUUUAAUAAUUUCAUAUUUUAGUUCUUAAUUUUCCUUUUUUCUGUUUCUUUUUCAGGUUCUAGGUCGUUAAAUUAAAAAAAAAUCAUUUCGUCAAGCAUAUUAGUAUAUCAUAUUUUAAAAAUAAUAUAUAUAUAUUUACAUAUACAUAUAUAAAGAAAAAAAAAAAGUAAAAAACAAAAAAAAAAUUAACAAAAAAAAAUUC
rnacentral:lncRNA from 1 species